AUAUGCUCCAGAUCAAUUAAUAUCUGUUCUUAUCAGUUUAAUAUCUGAUACGUCCUCUAUCUGAGGACUAUAUAUUAAAUGGAUUUUUGGAACAGGGAGAUGGAAUAGGAGCUUGCUCCAUCCACUCCACGCAUCGACCUGGUAUUGCAGUACCUCCAGGAACGGUGCACCUCCC
rnacentral:snRNA from 1 species